rnacentral:rRNA from 1 species
AGUUGCCAUCAUUAAGUUGGGCACUCUAAGUUGACUGCCGGUGACAAACCGGAGGAAGGUGGGGAUGACGUCAAAUCAUCAUGCCCCUUAUGAUUUGGGCUACACACGUGCUACAAUGGACAAUACAAAGGGUAGCGAAACCGCGAGGUCAAGCAAAUCCCAUAAAGUUGUUCUCAGUUCGGAUUGUAGUCUGCAACUCGACUAUAUGAAGCUGGAAUCGCUAGUAAUCGUAGAUCAGCAUGCUACGGUGAAUACGUUCCCGGGUCUUGUACACACCGCCCGUCACACCACGAGAGUUUGUAACACCCGAAGCCGGUGGAGUAACCAUUUGGAGCUAGCCGUCGAAGGUGGGACAAAUGAUUGGGGUGAAGUCGUAACAAGGUAGCCGUAUCGGAAGGUGCGGCUGGAUCACCUCCUUUCUAAGGAUAUAUUCGGAACAUCU